UUGAUUUCAUAUUGUGAAUGUUUAUAUUUUUUAAUAUAAAGUUAGUCAAACUCUACAAAGCUUGACUUUGACCAAACCUUAUAUGCAGACUAAAAAGAAACGGAGGGAGUACUUACAGUAAGCUAUUACUACCAAAAUAACUACACAGCAUGCUACUGACCCAAAUGAUCUCACAUAAUUCAGGGGAAACAACUUAGAAGAUAUAAUAAACCAGAGUCUUUUUUGUUGACAGGAACUGCACAUCUACAAAACAUCAUAUGACUAGUGAAGAACGAAAAGUUUAGUGGUGUUUGCAUUCUCACAGGUAGCACACACACACACACACACACACACACACAUGCACGCACGCACGCACGCACGCACGCGCGCGCGCGUGCGCGCGCGCACACACACACACACACACACACUGUUUCAGUCAUUCUCCAAUCUUGCAAUGUACUCAUCGUAGAACUUGCCUGCCUUCUCGAGCUCACCAACUUCGGUGUAGCAAUCGGCU
rnacentral:lncRNA from 1 species